ensembl:lncRNA novel transcript
GGAGCUUCCAGGGCUGGGAUAGGCCUUGCGUGUGACCGUAGCAGGUCACGGCGCCCUCUCUGCCUCAGUUUCCCCACGGGGAGAAGAGGCUGCACUGGGGUGCGAGCCGGGGCUGUGCAGGCCUGGAGCGGGGUCUGCCUCCAGGCCUAGGCUGUGGCCAUCGCCCUCCACUCCUCUGGGAGGAGGGAGCUGGAGGGGCUCAUGCAGGAGCUGGGCCUCCUGGAGGACUGCCUGGCGCAGAGGCGGAUAUGAGAGGAGCCCAGAAGAAUCUUGUAGGAGGAAAAGUUCAAAGAUGGAGACAUGUCAGACGACACAGAAGCCAGCUCGCAGGAGCUCCCAGUGUCCGCAUCAGGAUGAGUUUGCAUAUUAGAAAAAUGAUUGGGAAAAAGAAAGAAAUUAAAAUAAUUGAAUAAAA